UCUCAAAAUCGGCAAAAUUGACUUACGUGGUUUUCGUUGGACAGCGACGAUAUGCUAUAGGCAAAAAUAUGAUCACAAUCCUGGAAUUAUUAGUAGUUACAUAAACUAUAGGUAUAUCUUUACAAAUAGACAUUAUAUAUAUAUAUAUAGCAUUUAUUAGACACUAGGCAUACUAUUUCUAAUCUUUCUAUUUUUUCUUUCCAGAAAUGCCUGGGAGCAUCAAAAAGGUGUGCACAAGUUGCAACGCCAUCAUCAGUGUGGCCUUCAAAACGUGUCCUGCAUGCAAGGCUUGCCAGCCAUAUAAUGCAAAACUACAUAAAAAAAGGGAAAUAUUUAAAUUAAAGAAAUCAGAUUGGGCUGCUUCCAUUCAAAAAAAUUGCAACAGGACUGUAAUUGUCAACAGCAGUUAUUGUUUGUGCUGAAGAACCACAGACUGACCCAGACACUGAAUUGAUCCCCAAUGUUGCUGAAGAACCACGGAUUGACUCACAACCGGUGAACUCUGCACUUGAGUCCCACAAUUGUAAACCAUCAACUGCCACAAAAAGAAAAAAAGAGACAGCUAAAAAAGCAAUGAUCCCAUUAUGAGCAAGAUUAUGGAAGUCUGCAGUUGCUUCAAAUAUGCCUUAGCCCUGGCUCUCUACUCUCGACUGCUUUCUGACGGUAAUAAGAUGGUUAAAA